CUGCUGUGUCAUGCAAGAAGGAGGCGGCGGCGGCGGCCGGAGCUGGAGGGGGAGGAGGGGAGGAACCUGAUCCUCGGUAGCGAAGGGCUGGAGGCAAACACCGAGCUCCCCCUGAGCCGCCUGGGAGCAGGGAGGGUUCUGCUACCCUGAGGGGCCCUCCCCGCGGGGCAGAGGGGUUUCCUCAGCAGUGCCCCGGAGCAGGGACCGCGCCAGCCAGCAGAAACAGCUAGUUGUUGUCUGCAGUGAAGAAUAAUUGGAAGCAUGGUGCCUGUUUCUUUUCCUGUGGGAGGAAGUCACAGCAUCUACUUCUGAAUCUGUGCUUGCCUUGAGGAAAAACGGCAUGGCACAGGAAUGUGGACGCUUUCAACCAGAGGAUUCUGUACGACGGUGUCGGCACACAAGGAGUGUUCCACUGACUGACCUCUUUUUGUUUUCAAAUGAAGAGGAGCCAAGAAUAGGACAGCUUGGGAAGCUCAUCCUCGUCUACGGCCAAACGUUGGUUUCUCAUUUCUAGAAGAUGAAAGAUGUGAUGACUCAGGAAAAACUUGCUGCUCGAGAUGUGAGUCUUCAGAUGUUCCUGCCGCCAUAUCUGACAGCUGCUGCCAAGAUUCCCUGGUGGGAUGGACUCUUAUACCUCAACAACCAGAAGCCCAAGUAAACUCUUCUAUAAAUUGAAUGACUCAUGCUUAAAAAAAAAAACAAAAAACAAACUAUCUUUAUUUUGUGUGCAUUGGUGUUUUGCCUACAUAUAUGUCUGUGUGAGAGUGUCAGAUUCCUUGGAACUGUAGCUACAGAUAGUUGUGAGCCACCAUGUGGGUGCUGGGACUUGAACCCCAGUCCUCUAGAAGAGCAGCUGGUAGGUACUCUUAACCACUGGACCAUCCCUCUAGACCCUGAUCAUGGUGUUUUAACUACAGCAAAAGAAAAGUAAUUAGCACAAUCAGGUUAGCCAGAGGGCACACCUGUGACAGAUUUUUCCUAAGUGCAUUCAUCAGGGGGAGGCCCACCCUGGAUGGGGGCAGCACCCUUCCUUGGGUUUGGGUCUUAGAAAGAAUAAACACAGAGAGGGAGCUGAGCACAAGCCAGCAAGCACAAGCUAAGCAAGCACUGUCCAGUCUUCCUCUGCUUUGACUGAGGAUGUGACGUGUCUAGCUGCUUCAGGUUUCUGCCUCGAAUCCCCUGCAGUCAUAGACUAUAACCUGGAAUUGUGAGCCAAAAGAAAAACAAAAGAAAACAAAAUCCAUUUUCUCCCCAUAUGUUGCUUUUUGGUCAAAGCAUUUGAUCCCAGUAACAGAAAAGAAAUGAGGACAGGCAAGAAGAGGCCAUACCACAGAGCCAGGAGCAGGUUGUAGUGCCAAGUUGCAGAGGCCGGGGAGGAGCAUAGGUGCAGAGCAGCCGCUGUCAGAAUGUUCAGGGAAAAGGAGAAGAGAGGAUGUGUCAGGGAAGUGAGCUGGCUCAGUCCAUAACAGCAUGGUCUUGCUGUCUUUUACAGGGUCUGAAGUCUACCUUAGUGCAGUGGGAGCCACUAACUGUCCUAGUAUGAAGGAAGGAUAUUGAUGUUUUUUGGGCAUGUAAGUGUGUGUGUGUGUGUGUGUGUGUGUGUGUCCCCAUACUCUAGGGACUGAGCCUCCUCACCCAUGUACCACACAGCUUCAGUCCCAGUCCCAUAUUUUGUUUUCAAUCAAACUUUAUACAAAUGUUUCUCAAGAAAAUUAUAAGUUACUUCUUUUAUUUCUCAUUAAUAAUAUUUUGGGGUUUUUAUUUAAUAAAUUUUAAAGCAAGAUGAGCAUUUCA
rnacentral:lncRNA from 1 species